CUUGUUGGGCCCGUUUAUCGAGGUGGAUACCGCUUAGGGUUGCAUUACCUAAUUCUUGAUGAUGGAUUAGCUUCACUGAUCUCGGUCUGAGCGUUAAUUGUAAUGGGGUUCGGCCAUCGGCCAAAUUCCCACGGUGCGGGUCAGCCAUCGGCCAAAUCCCUGUGGUCUUUGGCGGUUUCGGCCAAGCCUUCUAAGGCCUCGGCCUCUCAGCAUAAGUCUUCAAAGGCUUCGGCCUUUCGGCACAAGUCUUCAAAGGCUUCGGCCUCUCGGCACAAGUCUUCAAAGGUUUC
rnacentral:lncRNA from 1 species